rnacentral:rRNA from 1 species
UACGGGGGGGGCAAGCGUUGUUCGGAAUUACUGGGCGUAAAGGGCCAGUAGGCGGCCAACUAAGUCCGACGUGAAAUCCCAAGGCUUAACCUUGGAACUGCGCCGGAUACUGGAUGGCUUGAAUUCGGGAGAGGGAUGCAGAAUUCCAGGUGUAGCGGUGAAAUGCGUAGAUAUCUGGAGGAAUACCGGUGGCGAAGGCGGCAUCCUGGACCGACAUUGACGCUGAACGGCGAAAGCUAGGGGAGCAAACGGG